rnacentral:rRNA from 1 species
GAUCGGCCACAUUGGAACUGAGACACGGUCCAAACUCCUACGGGAGGCAGCAGUGGGGAAUAUUGCACAAUGGGCGAAAGCCUGAUGCAGCAACGCCGCGUGAGUGAUGAAGGCCUUCGGGUCGUAAAACUCUGUCCUCAAGGAAGAUAAUGACGGUACUUGAGGAGGAAGCCCCGGCUAACUACGUGCCAGCAGCCGCGGUAAUACGUAGGGGGCUAGCGUUAUCCGGAUUUACUGGGCGUAAAGGGUGCGUAGGCGGUCUUUCAAGUCAGGAGUGAAAGGCUACGGCUCAACCGUAGUAAGCUCUUGAAACUGGGAG